GGUCAAGUUACUAAGGGCCUACGGUGGAUGCCUAGGGGCCAAGGGCCGAAGAAGGGCGUGGCAAGGCUGCGAAAAGCCUCGAUGAGCCGUCUAGCGGGCGUAGUCGGGGAUGCCCGAAUGGGGAAACCCGUUUCGGUGUUGAGCCGGAACAUCCUCCGGGAUACCGGGGGAGGGCAAGCGGGGGAACUGAAACAUCUAAGUACCCCGAGGAAAGGAAAUCAACCGAGAUUCCCUGAGUAGUGGCGAACGAAAGGGGAUGAGCCUAAACCUUUAUGACUUAGUGGUCUGGGGGCCUAUGCCAUAAAGGGGUUACAGGGGACACCCGCUCCAACCCCGGAAGGGAGCAAGGAGUUACAAACCUUAUCUCUAGCUGAAGGAACCUGGAAAGGACCGCCAUAGGAGGUGAAAGCCCUGUAAGCGAAAGGGAUGAGGCUCUUGGUGUAUACCCUGAGUACCACGGGACACGGGAAAUCCUGUGGGAAGUUGGGGGGACCACCCUCCAAGGCUAAAUAUCCUUGGCCACCGAUAGUGUACCAGUACCGUGAGGGAAAGGUGAAAAGAACCCCGGGAGGGGAGUGAAAUAGAUCUGAA
rnacentral:rRNA from 1 species